CAAUAGCGAAUCUUAAUGUUGUUGCUAUUAAAAAGCUCGUAGUCGAAUUUCUGGCCGGGAAAAGCCGAUCUAACCGCGCUGCUCCUAGGUCAUCCGUCUUUGAGGGCGCGUGGGUAUUCAUUUAUCUGCCGUCGGAUCUGGCAUUUUACUUUGAAAAAUCAGAGUGUUUCAGGCAGGCUUUCGCUUGAAUACACCAGCAUGGAAUAAUGGAAUAGGGCUCGUCUUACUUCUUGGUUCGUUUGACAAGCAAUGAUUAAUAGGGACAGUUGGGGGCAUUCGUACUGGACAGCUAGAGGUGAAAUUCUACGAUUUGUCUAAGACGAACUAAUGCGAAGGCAUCUGCCAAGGAUGUUUUCAUUGAUCAAGAACGAAAGUCAGGGUAUCGAAGACGAUUAGAUACCAU
rnacentral:rRNA from 1 species